GGGUCUCAGAGCUCGCUCAUCCACUUGGAGGUACGCACCUUGCUAAAUCUUGGUGCAACUUAUCAUCAGAUUUUCUUUGAAACUUGGCGUUGAUUGGUCUGAAGAUGAAACUAUAGUACUAUACACACGAAAUGCAGCAACCACUUAUAUCAAACAGUGGAGCAGUGCUGCUGUCCUGAAUGGAACGACACGAUAUUCAGCAUCGUUGAUAAAUCGUUGUGUGUAUAGCAGGGUUUAAUUAGAUACUUGGAAUUAAUGUCUGCGUACAUAUAUAACCGAUUGGAUUCUGUAUGUAUGCUUAGAUGAUUGUUUGGCUCUAUAUAAUUGUUGACAUGAAUAUCUUGACUUUCCAAACAAGUAUAGGACUGUGCCUAUGCAUACAGAUUAUCCUAACAAAACUGAAAGUAAAAAUUGAAGAUGAAAUAAGCAAUAAGUGGCUGAUUUUUAUCUGCAUGUUAAGCGGAAAGUUGCAGCCAAGGCUUAUAUAUUACAAAAUAUUGUCUCACAUUUAAGCUUCUACCAUUAUGAGGGACAUUGUAAUCAAUAUCCUCACUGCUAAUUUACCUCAAGUUUAUCGUUUACCGGAAGUUUCAAAUUAGAAGAAGUUUCAAAUUCUUAUGCUGGUUUAUGUUCUCUUUGUAGGUUAUGAGAUAUGGUGCUGGAGAGAUGCCAUUAGCAAACUGGAAGGGCUGCAACCAAAUCCAAUCGGCAGCAUGGCAGUGGUCUCUGAAUAUUCAGCGAUUCCUUUUUUGUUUGGCCUUCUUGUAGGUUUGCACAUAAGUGGAAGUUGUAGUGUAUAUUAGUAGUCGCUGGAGCUGUGAUGGUGAUCUUUCUUUUGAGUGGCUGUCGUUUGUUAUGACAAUCUUUUAGUUGCUGCUUCUUAUGUAUAGAUAAUGUGAUGAAGAUGUAACUGCAACAGAUGAUGUAUGAUUGUACAGUGAAACAAAUGUUGCUUUGAUAGCAAAAUUGAAAAAACUGAAUUGUUUCUCUGUUGUCCAGUCCUUUGAAUUAGCGGGCUGAAAAUAUUGAUGGGCUGGAAGAGUCCUUAGCCCAAACAAUAUUGGACAAAAAAAAUGAAAGAAAAAA
rnacentral:lncRNA from 1 species